GACGAACGCUGGCGGCGUGCUUAACACAUGCAAGUCGAGCGGUAAGGCCCUUUCGGGGGUACACGAGCGGCGAACGGGUGAGUAACACGUGGGUGACCUGCCCUCAGCUCUGGGAUAAGCCUGGGAAACUGGGUCUAAUACUGGAUAUGACUCCACGGUGCAUGUCGUGGGGUGGAAAGUCUUGUGCGGCUGAGGAUGGGCCCGCGGCCUAUCAGCUUGUUGGUGGGGUGANGGCCUACCAAGGCGACGACGGGUAGCCGGCCUGAGAGGGCGACCGGCCACACUGGGACUGAGACACGGCCCAGACUCCUACGGGAGGCAGCAGUGGGGAAUAUUGGACAAUGGGCGCAAGCCUGAUCCAGCGAUGCCGCGUGUGUGAAGAAGGCCUGCGGGGUUGUAAAGCACUUUCAGUAGGGAAGAAAGCCGAGUGCUAAUAUCAUUCGGUUCUUGUACGUUACUUACAGAAGAAGCACCGG
rnacentral:rRNA from 1 species